AGCGAACGUUUGCGGCGGGCCUAACACAUGCAAGUCGAACGGGCUACUUCGGUAGUCAGUGGCGCACGGGUGCGUAACACGUGGAUAACCAACCCUCUGGUUCGGGACAACACCGGGAAACUGGUGCUAAUACCGGGUGUGUCUGCGAGGUCAUCAGGCCGCGCAGAGAAAGGCUCGCAAGGGUCGCCAGAGGACGGGUCCGCGUCCCAUCAGCUUGUUGGUGAGGUAAUGGCUCACCAAGGCAAAGACGGGUAGCUGGUCUGAGAGGAUGAUCAGCCACACUGGAACUGAGACACGGUCCAGACUCCUACGGGAGGCAG
rnacentral:rRNA from 1 species